AAUUAAAAAUUUAUUAUUAUUAUAGAUUUAAGUUUAAUUAGUAGAAUUAUAUAUAUAUUUAUUAUUAUCUAGAAAAAUUUACUUUAAUGAUAAAGUAUAGUAUUGUAGAAGAAAAAAUUUAAUUUUUUUAAAGAAAAUUUUAUUUAUUGUACCUUGUGUAUCAGGGUUUAUUAAAAAAAAUUUAAUUUUAAAUGAUCUCGAAUUUAAAAGAGCUAAAGAGUUAAUUAAUUUUAUUGUUAAAUAAAUAUAUUAAAUAAUUUUUUAGUAAUGAAAUGUUAUUCGUUUUUAAAUAUAUCUAGUUUUUUAAGAAAUAAAUUUAAUUUAUUUAUUAAUAAUAUUGAAUUAAUUAGAUAGUUUAAUAUUAUUAAUAUUAAAUAUUUUUAGGGAUGAGCUUAAAAAUAGAUGAUUAUUAAGAAUUUAGAUUUAAAAAUAUUUUAGGAUUAAAAAUUUUCAUAAUUAAAGUAUGUUAUAAUUUAUUUUAAAAAUUUUAAAAUUUAUAUUUUUUAUAAAUUUUUUAUUAAAAUAUAUUUUGGAAUUAUAAAAAUUUAGAAUUAAUGAUAAAAUUAGUAUAGUUUUAUUUAAUUUAAUAAAUUAGAUAUUUAGGUUUGUAAAAGGAAUUCGGCAAAUAAUUUUCCACCUGUUUAUUAAAAACAUGUCCUUUUGAAUAAAAUUUGAGGUUUAGCCUGCCCAAUGAUUAAUUUAAUGGCCGCAGUAUCUUGACUGUGCUAAGGUAGCAUAAUCAUUAGUUUUUUAAUUGAAAGCUGGAAUGAAGGGUUGAAUGAGAAAAUAACUGUCUCUAACAAAUUUUAUUAGAAUUUUAUUUUUAAGUUAAAAAGCUUAAAUUUAUUUAAAAGACAAGAAGACCCUAUAGAGUUUUAUAUAAUUAAUUUAAUUUAAGAUAAAGAAUUUAGUUUUAAAUUAAAUUUUUAUAUUUAAUUGGGGUGAUUAAAAAAUUUAGUUAACUUUUUUUAUAUUAUUAUAUUAAUUAGUAAUUAUUUGAUCCAAGUAUUUUGAUUAUAAGAGUAAAUUACCUUAGGGAUAACAGCGUAAUUUUAUUAGAGAGUUCUUAUCGAUAAUAGAGAUUGCGACCUCGAUGUUGGAUUAAAAUUUAAUUUUGGUGAAGAAGCUAAAUAUUUAAGUCUGUUCGACUUUUAAAAUUUUACAUGAUCUGAGUUUAAACCGGUGUAAGCCAGGUUGGUUUCUAUCUUUAAAAGUGUUAAUUUAUUUUAGUACGAAAGGACCAAAUAUAUAUAAAAUUUAUUUUAAUAUGAUUGAAAUUA
rnacentral:rRNA from 2 species